UACAGAGGUCUCAAGCGUUGUUCGGAUUCAUUGGGCGUAAAGGGUGCGUAGGCGGCGCGUUAAGUCGGGUGUGAAAUCUCGGGGCUUAACUCCGAAACUGCACUCGAUACUGCCGUGCUUGAGGACUGGAGAGGAGACUGGAAUUUACGGUGUAGCGGUGAAAUGCGUAGAUAUCGUAAGGAAGACCAGUGGCGAAGGCGGGUCUCUGGACAGUUCCUGACGCUGAGGCACGAAGGUCAGGGGAGCAAACGGG
rnacentral:rRNA from 1 species